GAGCAACGCCGCGUGAGUGAUGAAGGUCUUCGGAUCGUAAAACUCUGUUAUCAGGGAAGAACAAACGUGUAAGUAACUGUGCACGUCUUGACGGUACCUGAUCAGAAAGCCACGGCUAACUACGUGCCAGCAGCCGCGGUAAUACGUAGGUGGCAAGCGUUAUCCGGAAUUAUUGGGCGUAAAGCGCGCGUAGGCGGUUUUUUAAGUCUGAUGUGAAAGCCCACGGCUCAACCGUGGAGGGUCAUUGGAAACUGGAAAACUUGAGUGCAGAAGAGGAAAGUGGAAUUCCAUGUGUAGCGGUGAAAUGCGCAGAGAUAUGGAGGAACACCAGUGGCGAAGGCGACUUUCUGGUCUGUAACUGACGCUGAUGUGCGAAAGCGUGGGGAUCAAACAGGAUUAGAUACCCUGGUAGUCCACGCCGUAAACGAUGAGUGCUAAGUGUUAGGGGGUUUCCGCCCCUUAGUGCUGCAGCUAACG
rnacentral:rRNA from 1 species